UGGAUUGUAUAACUUCAACCGAUUGGAGAAGGGCGUCUGGAGAGUGAACGGCGGAUUAAUGUUGUUGUUGGUAACAAAAUUUUGAAUUGGGAAAUAAGAGUAGGAAAGGAUAAAGGUUGAUAUUUUUUCCUUACCUAGAACUAAUGGCUGUAAGACAUCAAUGGUGACAAUGGCAACGACCGGCGGUGGUUGUUAUGCUUCCUUAGAAAUUGAGCGGUGGUAGUCGACGGUAGUCUUCAAAAAACCCCCGAACACCAAAUAGGGCGGUGUUUGUGGAAGUUUUGUAGGUGGAAAUAACAUCAGCAACCAUGGUUUAUAAGUAGUAAUAGACCCAAAUAUCAAACAAAACAAAAGAAACUUACACAGAUACAAGAACAAUGGAGGGGAAUGGAUACCAAUUUACCGAUGGAAGCUCUAGGAUGUAAGAUUUGUUGUUGCACUUUCCCUUGCCUUGGGUUUGGAGAGAAAACGCAGAUGACAGGAGAGAGAAAGAAGAGGAGGCAAUGCAAGUUGAAAUGGGUGCUAGGGUUUCUAAAUAGAUUGUUGAAGAGAGCUCAAUUCAAA
rnacentral:lncRNA from 1 species